GACGAACGCUGGCGGCGUGCUUAACACAUGCAAGUCGAACGGCGAAGCCCUUCGGGGUGGAUCAGUGGCGAACGGGUGAGUAACACGUGAGCAACCUGCCUCUGACUCUGGGAUAACGUCCGGAAACGGGCGCUAAUACUGGAUAUGACCUCGUGCCGCAUGGUGGGGGGUGGAAAGUUUUUCGGUCAGGGAUGGGCUCGCGGCCUAUCAGCUUGUUGGUGGGGUGAUGGCCUACCAAGGCGACGACGGGUAGCCGGCCUGAGAGGGCGACCGGCCACACUGGGACUGAGACACGGCCCAGACUCCUACGGGAGGCAGCAGUGGGGAAUAUUGCGCAAUGGGCGAAAGCCUGACGCAGCGACGCCGCGUGGGGGAUGAAGGCCUUCGGGUUGUAAACCUCUUUCAGCGCCGAAGAAGCGAGAGUGACGGUAGGCGCAGAAGAAGCACCGGCUAACUACGUGCCAGCAGCCGCGGUAAUACGUAGGGUGCAAGCGUUGUCCGGAAUUAUUGGGCGUAAAGAGCUCGUAGGCGGUUUGUCACGUCUGCUGUGAAAACUCGGGGCUUAACUCCGGGCCUGCAGUGGGUACGGGCAGACUAGAGUGUGGUAGGGGAGACUGGAAUUCCUGGUGUAGCGGUGAAAUGCGCAGAUAUCAGGAGGAACACCGGUGGCGAAGGCGGGUCUCUGGGCCAUAACUGACGCUGAGGAGCGAAAGCGUGGGGAGCGAACAGGAUUAGAUACCCUGGUAGUCCACGCCGUAAACGUUGGGCGCUAGGUGUGGGGCUCUUUCCACGAGUUCCGUGCCGCAGCAAACGCAUUAAGCGCCCCGCCUGGGGAGUACGGCCGCAAGGCUA
rnacentral:rRNA from 1 species